AUUGAACACUGGCGGCAGGCUUAACACAUGCAAGUCGAGCGGGGUGAUGGUGCUUGCACUAUCACUUAGCGGCGGACGGGUGAGUAAUGCUUAGGAAUCUGCCUAUUAGUGGGGGACAACAUCUCGAAAGGGAUGCUAAUACCGCAUACGUCCUACGGGAGAAAGCAGGGGAUCACUUGUGACCUUGCGCUAAUAGAUGAGCCUAAGUCGGAUUAGCUAGUUGGUGGGGUAAAGGCCUACCAAGGCGACGAUCUGUAGCGGGUCUGAGAGGAUGAGCCGCCACACUGGGACUGAGACACGGCCCAGACUCCUACGGGAGGCAGCAGUGGGGAAGAUUGGACAAUGGGGGAACCCUGAUCUAGCCAUGCCGCGUGUGUGAAGAAGGCCUUAUGGUUGUAAAGCACUUUAAGCGAGGAGGAGGCUCUUUUGGUUAAUACCCAAGAUGAGUGGACGUUACUCGCAGAAUAAGCACCGGCUAACUCUGUGCCAGCCGCCGCAGUAA
rnacentral:rRNA from 1 species